GACGAACGCUGGCGGCGUGCUUAACACAUGCAAGUCGAACGGAAAGGCCCUGCUUUUGUGGGGUGCUCGAGUGGCGAACGGGUGAGUAACACGUGUGUAACCUGCCCUUGACUUUGGGAUAACUUCAGGAAACUGGGGCUAAUACCGGAUAGGAGCUCCUGCUGCAUGGUGGGGGUUGGAAAGUUUCGGCGGUUGGGGAUGGACUCGCGGCUUAUCAGCUUGUUGGUGGGGUAGUGGCUUACCAAGGCUUUGACGGGUAGCCGGCCUGAGAGGGUGACCGGCCACAUUGGGACUGAGAUACGGCCCAGACUCCUACGGGAGGCAGCAGUGGGGAAUAUUGCACAAUGGGCGGGAGCCUGAUGCAGCAACGCCGCGUGCGGGAUGACGGCCUUCGGGUUGUAAACCGCUUUCGCCUGUGACGAAGCGUGAGUGACGGUAAUGGGUAAAGAAGCACCGGCUAACUACGUG
rnacentral:rRNA from 1 species